rnacentral:rRNA from 1 species
AUGCAGUCGAGCGGUUGACGGGAGCUUGCUCCCUGAUUCAGCGGGCGGACGGGUGAGUAAUGCCUAGGAAUCUGCCUAUUAGUGGGGGACAACGUUUCGAAAGGAACGCUAAUACCGCAUACGUCCUACGGGAGAAAGCAGGGGACCUUCGGGCCUUGCGCUAAUAGAUGAGCCUAGGUCGGAUUAGCUAGUUGGUGAGGUAAUGGCUCACCAAGGCGACGAUCCGUAACUGGUCUGAGAGGAUGAUCAGUCACACUGGAACUGAGACACGGUCCAGACUCCUACGGGAGGCAGCAGUGGGGAAUAUUGGACAAUGGGCGAAAGCCUGAUCCAGCCAUGCCGCGUGUGUGAAGAAGGUCUUCGGAUUGUAAAGCACUUUAAGUUGGGAGGAAGGGUUGUAGAUUAAUACUCUGCAAUUUUGACGUUACCGACAGAAUAAGCACCGGCUAACUCUGUGCCAGCAGCCGCGGUAAUACAGAGGGUGCAAGCGUUAAUCGGAAUUAC